UUCAAACACCCCCUUUCCACUAUCUUGGUACAGUCCCACGUGCACGUGCAGCCCUCUGUGUUGCUGUUUAAGCAUUGCGAGCAGUAUGGACAAGGGGGCUGGAGAUUCUGCAGGGUCACCGGGCUGGAUUGGGGGCUUUUACAGAUUUAUCACAGACAAGAACGACUUCCGUAGAGAUUUUACCAGGGAUUCAGUCCCUUAAUAGAGAGCACUCUAUGAGGAAGAAGGAAUUACAUCGGACAUCACAGAUUGCCGUAAAAUUGCCAUGGCCGAAGAAACUCCAGGAUUAGCUCACCUUACCCAUGCGACACCUGAACCCUGAAGUACGAGGAUCAAAGAAGAAACAAUACACACUGGGCGGACGCCUCUAUAGCAGUUGGGAAACAAAUACAAUAUACAGCCCAAGGGAGUACAUCACUGUGUGGUAAGAUUACCCAUAACCCCUAAAGGACUUCAACAAAGGAAGUAAAAGGCAAGUACCUGUACACCUACUUAGAUGUUAUGAAGAAACCGGGGGUAUGAAUACACACUGAACACGUAUAUCUUGUGGCACACCUAUAAUCCAGUCACCAAGGAUCAAUACGUAUAUAUCGCAACUGUAUUUACAUACUUAACUUGGACUGGUCGCAUGAAUGUAUACCUUGCUCACAGAUUAAGGAUUCCUUUACUAUGGACUUUUAGAAUACCGCUUGUGCACAUUUUAGGGAGUCUAAUUCUAUUGUUUUUAUAAUACCACCUGUGGUAACGUAUAAAUUGUACCUUAUCCAUUUGUUUUAAUAAAAAAUUCUACAUUGUA